rnacentral:tRNA from 2 species
GGGCCGUUAGCUCAGCUGGUUAGAGCGCAUGCUUCACACGCAUGAGGUCACAGGUUCGAGUCCUGUACGGCCCACCA